rnacentral:piRNA from 2 species
UUCAGCUAGAGAUCUUUGUAAUGAACAAGA